UCGAACGCAAAAAAGAUCCCUUUUUCGGAAUCACUGUCCUCUCUCCCGAGAAAACCCAGAACACAUCUUCUUUCAGUGAGAUCUAUUUCAAAAUCACCCUUCGUCUCCUCAUAUCCUUCCAUUGUGCCAAGUCAUUUUCUUCCAUUCUUCCAGCAACCUCAUUGUGAAAUCGUUUGAUCUGGUCGCUGCCUACUUCUUCUCCUCUUUAAUCUUAUUGAUUUCAUCAUUCUCUUCGAUCUAGAUUUUUUUUCCUCUGUUGUUGGUCGCUUAUUGCAAAGCCACGAUCGUCUUCUUACCAAUUUUUGUUUAAGCUCUAUCUACCUGAGUAUGGAUGCUUUUGACUCGGCCAUUGCCAGCUCUUUGUUUCUGGUCAUCGGAGAAAACAUGGUCGAGUCAACUUCUCUAACGCGCGAGUAUUAUUUGCUUAAGCAACCCUUGCCGAGUCACCUUCUCUGAUGCGUGAGAAUUAUAAAGGCGCGCAUCUUCUUGUUCUACCAUUGUUUCAUCGUCUUUUUGCUCUCAUUCUCUUUCUUAUGAGUUCAUCGUUGCCACAUGUAUGAUGUAGUCAACAUAUUGGAGAGUGGUGGACAAGAUAAGGGGAAACCCUAUACCUAUGGAAAGGUUUUAGAGAAAUUCCUCGAGCUUUGAACAAGCUUAAGGAAGAGGGUGUGAGAGAAAAUUUGAUGUAGCCUACUGCAAGUCAGCUGAAAAUGACCAACCAGCAAAUUAAUGGCUGCUCAUCUGUAUAAUAAGAUUGUUGAUUCCCCAAUCCUCUGUUGAAGAAUCAGGAAGAAUGUCGAUGAAAACGUGGCUGAGAAUUUUCCAGAUUUUCUAAGGUAAACUCAUCAACAUUGUUUUGAAUAGAACUUGCCAUUUUGAAAACACCUUGAUGACUGGAAGUGGUGCUCAAUCUUGAAGGUUUGAUUUGGAAGAGCUCUUUCUCCAUCCACGGAAGUCAUUUGGAGUAAUCCAUCUCAAGCUUUUACAUUCCUCUCAUGUUUUAACACUUGUAUUUCUUUAGGGUUCAUAAACUGGUGUAAUUGACUUCUAUUUUUUCCUUUGCAACUAUUUUUUGUCUCUACAACCUUUUGUGAAGUGACAUCUUGCACAUUAUUUAAUUGAGGUUCAUCAUAUUUGGCCAAA